UACAGAGGGGGCAAGCGUUAUUCGGAAUUAUUGGGCGUAAAGGGUGCGUAGGCGGCAUGAUAAGUUAUUGGCGGCAAAUCGAGGCUCAACCUCGUGGAAACUGAUAAUACUGUCUUGCUUGAGUGCAGAAGAGGUUAACGGAACUCCAUGUGGAGCGGUAAAAUGUGUAGAUAUAUGGAAGAACAUCAAUAACGGCGAAGGCAGUUAACUAUUCUGUUACUGACGUUGAGGCACGAAAGCGUGGGGAGCAAAACGG
rnacentral:rRNA from 1 species